CUUGUCACCCAAAACAGGUGACUUCGGGUUGGGCACAAUCUAUACAACCUCACACAGCAGCCCUGCAAAAAUAUGGGGUCCCCAAAACCUGGGGACACACUGCCCUUUCAAAGUAGGUUUCCAGAAAGAAGAACCUUACCAAAGACAACCAAGCAUUUUACACAUUUCAUUACCAGAAAUCCUCAUAUUUGUUAAUAUAAAUUAAUUCCUAAACAUAUUAGGAUAGAGCAAAAAGGG